rnacentral:rRNA from 1 species
UACGUAGGGUGCGAGCGUUGUCCGGAAUUACUGGGCGUAAAGAGCUCGUAGGUGGUUUGUCGCGUUGUUCGUGAAAUCUCACGGCUUAACUGUGGGCGUGCGGGCGAUACGGGCAGACUAGAGUACUGCAGGGGAGACUGGAAUUCCUGGUGUAGCGGUGGAAUGCGCAGAUAUCAGGAGGAACACCGGUGGCGAAGGCGGCCAACUGGACCAUUACUGACGCUGAGGCGCGAAAGCGUGGGGAGCAAACAGGAUUAGAAAUACCCUGGUAGUCCACGCCGUAAACGAUGAAUGCCAGCUGUUGGGGUGCUUGCACCGCAGUAGCGCAGCUAACGCUUUGAGCAUUCCGCCUGGGGAGUACGGUC